rnacentral:rRNA from 1 species
CCUACGGGGGGCAGCAGUGGGGAAUAUUGGACAAUGGGGGGAACCCUGAUCCAGCCAUGCCGCGUGUGUGAAGAAGGCCCUCGGGUUGUAAAGCACUUUCAGUGAGGAAGAACGCCUGGUGGUUAAUACCCAUCAGGAAAGACAUCACUCACAGAAGAAGCACCGGCUAACUCCGUGCCAGCAGCCGCGGUAAUACGGAGGGUGCGAGCGUUAAUCGGAAUUACUGGGCGUAAAGCGCGCGUAGGUGGCUUGAUAAGCCGGUUGUGAAAGCCCCGGGCUCAACCUGGGAACGGCAUCCGGAACUGUCAAGCUAGAGUGCAGGAGAGGAAGGUAGAAUUCCCGGUGUAGCGGUGAAAUGCGUAGAGAUCGGGAGGAAUACCAGUGGCGAAGGCGGCCUUCUGGACUGACACUGACACUGAGGUGCGAAAGCGUGGGUAGCAACAGGAUUAGAUACCCCUGUAGUC